rnacentral:rRNA from 1 species
GAACCUGCUGCAGGAUCAUUA